CACUUUUGUCCGGCUUCUUUACCGCACAAGUGAAGCGGCAAGAGCUCAGAUUUGAAAUCGUGCUUUGCGGCACGAGUUGUAGAUUGCAGGUUGGAGUCUGUGUGGAAGGCGGUGUCCAAGUCCCUUGGAACAGGGCGCCCAGGAGGGUGAGAGCCCCGUGGGAUGCCGGCGGAAGCAGUGAGGCCCUUCUGACGAGUCGAGUUGUUUGGGAAUGCAGCUCCAAGCGGGUGGUAAAUUCCAUCUAAGGCUAAAUACUGGCGAGAGACCGAUAGCGAACAAGUACUGUGAAGGAAAGAUGAAAAGCACUUUGAAAAGAGAGUGAAACAGCACGUGAAAUUGUUGAAAGGGAAGGGUAUUGCGCCCGACAUGGGGAUUGCGCACCGCUGCCUCUCGUGGGCGGCGCUCUGGGCUUUCCCUGGGCCAGCAUCGGUUCUUGCUGCAGGAGAAGGGGUUCUGGAACGUGGCUCUUCGGAGUGUUAUAGCCAGGGCCAGAUGCUGCGUGCGGGGACCGAGGACUGCGGCUGUGUAGGUCACGGAUGCUGGCAGAACGGCGCAACACCGCCCGUCUUGAAACACGGACC
rnacentral:rRNA from 1 species